rnacentral:rRNA from 1 species
UACGGAGGGGGCUAGCGUUGUUCGGAAUUACUGGGCGUAAAGCGUGCGCAGGCGGUGAUGUAAGACAGGUGUGAAAUCCCCGGGCUUAACCUGGGAACUGCAUUUGUGACUGCAUCGCUGGAGUGCGGCAGAGGGGGAUGGAAUUCCGCGUGUAGCAGUGAAAUGCGUAGAGAUGUGGAGGAAUACCGAUGGCGAAGGCAGCCUCCUGGGCCAACACUGACGCUCAUGCACGAAAGCGUGGGGAGCAAACAGG